rnacentral:rRNA from 1 species
CUACGGGUCGCACCAGUGAGGAAUUUUGCGCAAUGGGGGCAACCCUGACGCAGCAACACCGCGUGAGUGAAGAAGGCCUUUGGGUCGUAAAGCUCUGUCAACAGGGAAGAAGUUACGGAUGUUUAAUAGAUGUCUGUAUUGACGGUACCUGUGGAGGAAGCAUCGGCUAACUCCGUGCCAGCAGCCGCGGUAAUACGGGGGAUGCAAGCGUUAUUCGGAAUUAUUGGGCGUAAAGGGCACGCAGGCGGUCUUGUCAGUCAGAUGUGAAAGCCCGGGGCUCAACCCCGGACGUGCAUUUGAAACAGCAAGACUUGAGUACGGUAGAGGAAAGCGGAAUUCCUGGUGUAGAGGUGAAAUUCGUAGAUAUCAGGAGGAACAUCGGUGGCGAAGGCGGCUUUCUGGACCGAAACUGACGCUGAGGUGCGAAGGCGUGGGUAGCGAACAGGAUUAGAUACCCUAGUAGUC